rnacentral:snRNA from 1 species
AUGUUCGUUUUGGCAGCACAUGUACUAAAAUUGGAAUGAUACGGAGAAGAUUAGCAUGGCCCCUGCACAAAGAUGAGUUGCAAAUUCAUGAAGCAUUCCAUAUUUUC